CAAAAUAGAGCUUGUUAGUUGAGCUAUUCGUUUACAUCGAGGAGGUUUCUGUGCAAUUCAGAUUAUUUUGA
rnacentral:tRNA from 1 species